UGGCUUAUCGUCUAACGGAGAGGACAACCCUUUUGAAAGGGGGGAGGUGCAGGUUCGAGUCCUGCUGAGCCUACCA
rnacentral:tRNA from 1 species